ACAGCUUGCCUCCGGACACAUGCACCGAGUUCAGUUUCUCCAGGAAGGGUCAGCUGAUCGUCAGUGCGAGUCGUCCGUCCAGCAGCCUGGGAUCCGUGGUGUCCAGCGGUACAGCUUCAACUAACACAUCUUCUGAGCAGCUUCAGAGAUGGAUACAUGCAGCGGCAAAGGGAAGAAAGACAGAGCUCGUCAGCCUGCAGAAGCCGUUGUCUGGAGGUCUGGGUUUCAGUGUGGUCGGCCUGAGACCAGAGGGGGUCGGCAGUCACGGUGUGUUCGUCAGACAGGUGCAACAAGGGAGUGUCGCAGACAGGGAUGGAAGAUUGCAGGAGAACGAUCAGAUUCUGGCGAUUAACGGGAUUCCUCUGGAUCAGAGCGUGAC